ACUUUUUGAGACUAUUUUUCUCUUCCAUCCCUCCUUGUAUGAUUUUGAUCCAGGUGGUUUGGUGAUCACAAUCCUCCAAGAUGGUGCUACGAAGGCGGCCAAUGGUAGUAGCUUCUCCAGUGGCCAAACAGGUUUGUAUUUCUUUGACACUCCACACAUUGGUCCACUUAAAACUAAACCUUUCCAUACAGUCUUUUGCCUUAGACAUAUGAGUGUAGCAAUUGCACCACCUAAUGACUCACCAUACAGGAAAGCCGGGAGCUUAGGGUGAUUGGCACGAGCAGAGUCGAAGUAUUGUAUGCAGUCUUCGACUAAGGGUUGAAUACUCGGAAUGUAGCCAGGUGAGCCUUCUGAGUAACCGUGGCCUUGUAGGUCA
rnacentral:lncRNA from 1 species